ACUUGGCAAAGUCUGCUUGACUCGGAAAAAAACUGUCUUAAAGAAAUGAAGUCUGCGUGCGGUUACAACUACAUGGCCCCAGACAAUCAGGCCUUAUCAUGGGUCAGGAAGCUGUGUGGGAAUUCUGUCAAUUGCUAAAGAUAUCCAUUCCAGCUAUUACCCACCCUGGGUUAAUAACGACAAGGAGAUUCAGUGCCCUGUUGUCCUUCUAUGAAGAGAACUCAGAUAAACUGGCUCACGGCAUCAUAAUUCAAGACAGAUUUUUCUCCUGGAAGAGAAGAAGAGGAAAAAAGGAGGGGAUAAAAGAAGGAAAAGAAGAAAGAAAUGAAGAAAGAAUAAGGCAGUGUAGGAAUAAGGGAAGUAUCUCAGGACUUUGUUCUUGAAGGAAGCUCUGUCUGUCAUCACGGGUGGGGGUUGCUGCUCAUGGCCGGGAAUUCCAUCCAGCCUUUUCUCCUGUGGCUCCCCAGCACCCUCUCAGUACCAGCCCAGCUGACGAAAUUGAAAAGACAGGAGCUGUGGAGAGCUGAAUUCUCUGCAUGAUACAAGGAAAGAAUUUGGAGUUUCCCAUAGAAUUUAAAUGGGAAAAAAAUAAUAGGAACAAAGGAAGAGAAACCAUCAAGACAAUGCGAUGCCAGGUGUUGAGAAAAAUUCAGUAGCAAAGGAACUUUUAAAAAACAGGAUAGGUAAUUUUUUAUUUUUAUGUUGCUUGCUAAUUAUUGGGGUUCUACUUCAGGAUACAAUGCAAUCACUCGUGUGAAAUAUGUCUGCCACCAUUAGACAAACAAAAACAAAACUGGACAAAAUAUGGAAAGCAAAAGUUUUCUGGCAUUGGAUAAUAGGCAGCACAAGACUGGGAUCCCUGACAGAAGGGUCGUUCACAACGGGAGCCCCACAAUUGCCGCCAGCUCUCUUUCUGGGAAUAAUUUCCCCCACUGCAGAGUACUGAGCUUGAAUCCAUGCACAACAUAUGAUUCUGAUGAGCUGAGGAAGGAGAACUCAGAGAUCAGAACAGCUGAAAUGUCUAGAAUUGUGAGGGAAGGCAGAGGGAGGAGUAAACUGCACAGACAGGAGUCCCUAGAAGUUUGUGUCUUAUAGAGUCAUUGGCUGAAAGCUAAGCUAUGUAUAUGCUCAUGGAGAAAGUACACAGGCUUGCCAGAGAGCAGCUAUAACAAGGUAGAGAAUAGAACAAAGAUACUACAAGUUAAGCAGUGCUAGAGAACAGAAAAGAUUCAGUUCAGCCAUAAAGUAGAAAUUGUUCAUACUCAGGCCUCCAGCUGAGACACCAAAAGGAGAAUAACAUAAGAAUGAGGACCACAUCCUAACGUAAGGCAUAGUCUUAGUAACUACUGAC